rnacentral:lncRNA from 9 species
AGAUCUUUAUUUAUGAAGGUAUGGCUUUCAGCUAAUGUUCUCAAUUUAAAUGAUUUAGAUGCCCAUUACUGCAGCAGAAAAAAGUUGGCUUGUCAUAGUUUUGGAAUUUUUUUAACAAAAUAUGAAUAAAAAGCAUUUAAAGUAUCCAAUCAAAUUUAGUACAUGGCACAGAUGAAAAUAAUUAAAUACUGGGCACGUUCUGUAUAUACAGGGCAUGCGGCAACCCUAAUGACAGUGGAUAACUGAUAGACUCUUCUACAGCAAGUUAGGUUUUGUCUUUGCUUCUGUUUUUGUUUCGUUGUGGUGGUGGUGGUUGUUGUUUUUCCCCUUGUAUUUGAACAUAUCCAGUGAGGAGGACUAAUAUGUCUUACAUCUGAAUUCCAGCAGGUUAGUUGACUCCACUCUUAUUACUGGAAACCUCCCCUUGGUUACACUGAACCUUGAUUUUCACCCACUGAUUCAAAUUCUCAUCUUUGUAGUCACACACAACCUGUCUCAUCCUCCUACAAUAGAUUUUCCUAAACAUAUCCUUUUAGUUAUCAUGUUCCUUUCCAAAGUUUUGUCUUAUUAGGUGAAAUAUUGAGAUAUUCAACUCCAUUUCUGUGUCCUUCUAGGCUAGUAAAUCUGCAAAAAAGGGGAAAACAUUUCGUUUAAAAAGACUUAGUUUUGUAAGUUGUGUUGGCAUGAUUCCCAUUUCCAUUUUCUAUACUUACAAAUUGUCCCAUUUAUAAUUUCAGCUAGCAUCUUACCUGGAAUUAAUAUUUAAGCCCUUAGUUUUGAAGACAAUUGCUUCAUUUUACCAUUGUCAUUGGUGUUCAUUUCCACCAUUCCUCAAAGAUAAUGGAAUAAGUGGAGGGAUUUGUUUCUUUGGAUUUUCAUGGAAUCCAGACAUGUAAUUUUCUGGGCUAUGAGCCCUGAGCUCUUCAACCUCUUCCUUUUAUGACUUUUUAAUAUAUCUUGUAUUUCAAUUCCCUCUUAACAACUUCUGUAACCUUUUCCUCAUAGCUUUGAAAAUCUGGGAUUAAUUCUUACAUAAGAACUGUUUUGUUAUGGAAGAAAUUAUGUCUUCACAGAUAGAAAGCUGUUGUAAAUCAUAUUUAACCUUUUAUUUUAAUAUGCCUUUAGUACUCUUGUGAUGAAAGGAGAAGUCUCAUAGAGGCAUCAUAUUUUGAGCUUUAUAAAAUAAAAGUACAUAGGAGUCCAAGAUUUUUUUCCAGAAUUUCAUUAUUAAGUUAUUAUUAGGUUCAUCGACAUGGUGUUUGUAAAGAAAGCCAAAAAUCACAAUAUUUUUACUUCCUUAUGUUAGGUUCCAAGGAAUAGCUUACGUUAUUCAUAACUUCUAAAUGUUGCAACUUGACCUUGAGAUAAAACCCAAAUGAAAGGUGGAAAAGUAAAUGAUACCCACAUUGUGUUGCUGAACAGGAAUCAUUGCAUUUCACUCAUAACAUUGUACUUUUAUAUAUAACAUGUUAUUUUAAUCUAUUUUUCAUUUUGUUGGUAGUAUUUAAUCUAAAUAUUUUUCCAUGUUGAGACGUUAACAACUGGCUUUGGUUAUGGGCUAUGCGUAUUUUAGUAUUUGUCAUUGAUGUUCAAUAUCUACAUACUAAGUAGAAUUGUUACAGCUGUUUUAAAUGUAAAAUGCUUAACUUGGCAGACAAUAGUUUAAUGCAAAAUCGAGCUCCUAGUGAUAUAAACUUCAUGAACUAAUUUCUUAAACAUGUUUAAGUUAUAAUUGAUUUUCAUGAUCUAAUUGCUGAUAACAGAUUUGAAAGACAAAAAAUCUCAAGUAUGUCUGUAAUGUAUUAAGCAUGUAUGUAUGCAGAUAAAGAAUAAACAGGUGGUUACCAGAAGAUGGGUACAAACUUCCAGUUACAAAAAAAAAAAAAAAAGAGUCACAGCGUGGGGAAUACAGUCAAUUAUGUUGCAAUAUCUUUCUACUGUAACAGAUGGUAAUACACAUAUCAUGGCAAUCAUUUUAUAAUAUAUAGUGAUAUUGAGUCACUAUGUGGUACACCUGGAACUAACAGUGAUGUAGGUCAGCUAUGGCUCAGUUUUUUUAAAAGAAAUAUGCAGAUGCUGGGAGGAAAUGCAUCAAAACUCUAAUGAUGGCUCUCAGCAGGGAGUGGGAUCAUCAGUGAUUGUGGUUUUGUACUUUACGCUUUUACAUAUUUCUAAUUGUCUGCAGUGAACAUGUCUUACUUGUAAAAUUAGAAGGAAAGUAAUAAAUGUCAUUGAAAUGAAAAUUAAAUUAAAAGUAAGUAGGUAAUUUACAUUUAAAUAGAAGGGGAAAUAUAUAGUUGAAAGGACUUUAAAAUGCAAAUCUAUGAAAUCCUCAAACUUUUGCUCUGUUUUUAUUAAUAGUUUUGCCAGGCUUUUUGAGUUAUAGCAGAAUUUCCUAAUCUUAUGGUUUAAACAAAAAUUGCAUGGAUGUCCUCAAUAUAUACCUAUUCUAGUUACGAUUACUGUGAAACAAACCACCUCGCACCUAUUAGCAACCGCCCCUUUACUGCGCUCACGGAUUCUGUGAAUUAGGGAUUAGGAAAGGCACAGAGACGACAGCUGUGCUUUGAGCCACCAUGUUUGGAGUCUCAGCUGGGAACACUGAGAGGGGGCUGUGGCCUUGAACAGCUGCGGCUGGGAGACCUACUUCCAAGUGGUUUCUUCACUCCCUUCUGGCAUCUGGGCUGGAUCUCCAUGUGAUGGGGACUCCUCAGAGCACAGGGCGCUGGGUUCUGAAAGGGUCUGUCUUCCAAGGAGCAAGUGACAAGCCAACUGGGCAAAAACUGCAGAGCCUUUUCUGCCCUCAUCUCAGAAAUCACAAUACAUCUUUUCCAGAGGGUUCUCCCUCUUAGAAAAAAGUCAACCCAGGAGUUCCCCUCUGUGGUUAACGAAUCCGACUAGGAACCAUGAGGUUGCCAGUUUGAUCCCAGGCCUCGCUCAGUGGGUUAAGGAUCCAUUGUUGCUGUGAGCUGUGGUGUAGUUCGCAGAUGCGGCUUGGAUCCUGCAUUGCUGUGGCUCUGGCCAGGAAUUGGGUUCACUGAUACUAGUUGGGUUUCUUACAGCUGGGCCAUAAUGGGAACUCUGCAAACUGAUGCAAUUUUAUUGCCAAGUUCAAACCUGUGCUGUGGUUUUAAUCACAUAGAGUGACCCUAUAAUUUAACGGUCCAAAGUGAGUCCCUUUUGAAUUUGUAAAGGGCACAAAAAGAACUUCUGUUUAAUAAAACAGAAAUUUUACCUCUUUAUUGCACUCUACUCAAUGGCUCCUACUGUUUCUUUAAUUGAGAAAAUAUUUUUAUGUAGUUGCUGCCUGUUAAGCACAGAAAAAAAAUCUUCUAAAUAGAAGGUACUCCUAAUUCCUAUGUUUCACUAAAAUUUUAAAAUAUUGUUGAUCCAACUAACCGGAAAGUACUGUCUUUUUAAUUGCAUAAUGUGAGAAAAAAGAAUGUAUAGAUGUAUGUGUGACUGGGUCACCUUGCUGUGCAGUAGAAAAUUGACAGAACACUGUAAACCAGCUAUAAUGGAAAAAAUAAAAAUCAUUAUAAAAAAAGAAUACCUUUGCUCUGACAGAAUAUUUUGCAAGAUAAAACUCAAGCAAGUGUCUCUAUGAAUAUUUAUUAUUCUAUUCAAAUUCAAUACCUAUCUUUCAAUAUAAAUAUCAAUAUCCAAUUUGACAUCUAUUUUGUUGAAUAUUUUCCAAAUUAAAUGUUGGGAAAGUAUAAACUUUCUCAUUUAACUUAAUUCCCACACAGAAUAUAAAUUUAUCCAACAACACAAAAGAAUUUUAUCAAACAAUUCUUCCUGAAAUUCAAGAUAUCACAAAACUCGGUUAUUCAAUUUCAGGCUUAAAUCUUAUACUUCAUUUAACUUUCAGCAUUUGGCUUGAAGUAAUAAAGAUAAAUAUUAAAGAAUUCUCUUUAUAAGCUUUAUUUUCUUUUUCCUUUUUUUUUUCGUUUUUGGUUUUUAGGGCUGCACCCAAAGCAUAUGGAAGUUCCCAAGCUAGGUAUCGAAUUGGAGCUGCUGGCAAAUGCCACAGCCACAGCAACUCUGGAUCCGAGCCGUGUCUGUGACCUACACCAUAGCUCAUGGUAAACUCAGGAUCCCUGACCCACUGAGCGAGGCCAGGGAUUGAACCCAUAGCCUCAUGGAUACUAGUAGGAUUUGUUUCUGCUGCACCACAAUGGGAACUCCUAAGCUUUAUUUUCUAUAAUUGCAAUUUACUAAAAUAUUCAACAGUUGAAGUCUUGGGCACUCUAUUAAUUGAAAUAGGUGUUGAAGAUUUCCAACUCAUUUUGAACAAAUGCUAUCACAUUUCAGGGGGAUUGUUUACAAAAACAUUCAAUUCAUACUAGAGAUUGAGACUGAUUUACAAGUUGUUUGCAAAGGCUCUAAUAUUCUAAAAUCAGAUCCAAGAGGAUCAGUGAAGAAGGAAUAUUACAUUGUUAUGAGGCUGAGCUUUUUUUUUUUAGAAAACAUCACUUUGUUGCAAAAAAAGAAAAUUGUAGUUCCAUGGUAUAUUCCUUGAUAUGUAUAAAUUUUGACAUUUAUAUUUUCAGUUGUGAUUAGUGGCAUAUUUCCCCGGUUUGACAACAUUCAUGAAUUAUCUGUGCUUCAUGACCAAUUCCAAGUACAUUUUUUUCUCCAUAGGUUGUUUAGUAAGAACAUUGCUUUUUUACUAUUAUGUUGUGCUCC